rnacentral:rRNA from 1 species
UUGACUGGGGCGGUCGCCUCCCAAAAGGUAACGGAGGCGCUCAAAGGUUCUCUCAGUACGGUCGGAAAUCGUACGUAGAGUGUAAAGGCAAAAGAGAGCUUGAUUGCAAGACAUACAGGUCGAGCAAGGAUGAAAAUCGGACUUAGUGAUCCGGUGGUUCUGCGUGGAAGGGCCAUCGCUCAACGGAUAAAAGCUACCCUGGGGAUAACAGGCUUAUCUCCCCCAAGAGUCCACAUCGACGGGGAGGUUUGGCACCUCGAUGUCGGCUCAUCACAUCCUGGGGCUGUAGUAGGUCCCAAGGGUUGGGCUGUUCGCCCAUUAAAGUGGUACGCGAGCUGGGUUCAGAACGUCGUGAGACAGUUCGGUCCCUAUCCGUCGCAGGCGUAGGAAAUUUGAGAAGACCUGUCCUUAGUACGAGAGGACCGGGAUGGACGUACCUCUGGUGUACCAGUUGUUCUGCCAAGGGCAUGGCUGGGUAGCUAUGUACGGAAUGGAUAAGCGCUGAAAGCAUCUAAGCGCGAAGCCAACUUCAAGAUAAGAUUUCCCACCGCAAGGGUAAGACCCCAGAAAGACUAUCUGGUUGAUAGGUCGAAGGUGUAAGUGCAGCAAUGUAUUUAGCUUAUCGAUACUAAUAGGUCGAGGACUUGACCAAUAUU